UGUUGUUUACUAUAAUGCCCUUGGUACCCUUCUUCUUCUUCCUUUCUUAAUCUUCCAUAGGUGCAGGUUUGUCAAAAUCAAAUGCUCUUCUGCUAUUUUUUUGUGAUUACUUCUUUACUUUUUAGUAGUUCAAAUUUCUAUCUUUUUUUUUCCAGAAGCAAUAUGGCUCCUAUUACAUUGUCUAUACUGUGGAGAUUCUUCCUUCUUGGUCUGUUGGGGUAUUGUACAAAUUUCUUCUCUGUUUUAUUGUUAUCAAAUUGGGGUCUUUUCGAUUAAAACAAAUAAAAUCAGAACUUUGCUUGUAAACUCUAUUGCAGAAUAUGUUUGCUGCAGGUCCUGGCCUAUACAGGUAUCAAAUACAGCUCUCCUACUCUGGCAGCUGCUUUAGGGAAUUUGAUGCCUGGUUUUACAUUUUUGCUUGCCAUCAUUUUCAGGUAUAGGACUGCCAAAUUGGGCUUAGCCAACUUCUACUUUUUGUUAGAUUCAGCUUGUUUGGAUGAUUGUUAUCUAUAGUAUUGUAUGCUGUUACUUUAAAUACAAUAUUUAUUUUGAUUGUUACUUUAAUUUUGUUGUAUCGUAUCGUUAAAUACAUCGUUAUGUAACGACGGAAAGUGUCACUUUAUAAAACGACGGAUUUGGUAUGGUGGCGUCGUUUCUUUGCUUUUUUCCUCUCAUCUUCCCUUUCUUUAUUAUUAAAUAAUUAUAUUUUAUUCUUUAUCCUACUUUUUUAUAUAAUAAUUCUAUUCUGUAUCCUAUUUUUUCUUAGUAAUGUUGCAAGUUUAUUCUUCAUAUUUUUAGUGCGUGAUAUCAUGAAACCAGGGGCGGAGCCAAAGUGUUGUUUGCGGGUUCGGCCGAACCCAGUAGUUUUUGUUCAAACCCUAUAUUUGUAUUAAGAAAUUCAAUGAAUAUGUACAAAUUAUUAAUUUAGAACCCAGUAACUUAAAAUGAUUAUAAUCUCGAACCCAUAAGGUUCAAAUCCUAGCUCCGCCUCUGCAUGAAACGACGGCAAACGAUACAAUCUAUCCAAACAUUGUCUUUAUCUAACAAUACAAUACAAUACAGUACAAUACAAUACGAUACAUUAUGAAACGACAUGUAACAACAAUCUAAACAUGAUGUUAAGUAACAUGCUCAUACAGUAUAAGGACUCUUAUAUUAUCAGUUAGCUUAACAUAUUGUAGUAGAAUAACUACCAUUUUUAUUAGGUAACCAAGUAAUGUUUGUCGUAGAAAUUUACCUAUAAUUAUUUUAUAAAUGACCAGGCUGUAUAAAUAUAUUUUAUACUGUUAGUGCAGUAAACUCACUUUUGUUUCUGAGUCAGAGUCCGCAGUUAGGUGUCUCCAGUACUUUUUUUUUUGGUUUCUUACCCGGUGUCCGCCUUGGCGUAACUCGUAAAGUUGUCAUGUGACCNNNNNNNNNNNNNNNNNNNNNNNNNUUCGAGCUGUGGAAACAGCCUCUUGCAAAAAUGCAGGGUAAGGCUGCAUACGAUAGACCCUUGUGGUCCGGCCCUUCCCCGGACUCCGCGCAUAGCGGGAGCUUAGUGCGCCAGGCUGCCCUUUACCCGGUGUCCGGUACUCGCAUUGGAGCAUGACUAUAUCUGGAUUCGCACUGCGUAGGACCCCAUUGGGGGGAAGUGCUCCCUGCCAAGAUUUUUCCAUACCCAAGGCUCGAACCCGAGACCUCUGGUUAAGGGAAGAGCAGCCCCAUCCGCUGCACCACAUGGUGUUUCCAGUACCCAAGUUAUUUUCUCAAGGCAUAUGCAAAAAGUUGUUAUCUUCUGAUUUAAACACAUAUCUUUUGAUAGUGCUGCAAAACCACUAGCUUCUGCCACUAAAUAGCCUGGUCUUUUGGACCAUGAGCUUUUUUCCCUCUAAAAUAGUUGAAUAGUAGAAGUGAUACUAUGCAAGAUUGCAAGUUUUUAGUUGUAUCUAGUGGUUCACAUGUUCAGAAUUUCUCAAGGUUUUUGCAAAAUUUUCAGGAUGGAGAAGUUAGAUAUAAGAAAGGCUAGCAGUCAAGCAAAAUCUCUUGGCACCAUAGUGGCAAUUAUUGGAGCAUCUAUCAUGACUCUAUACAAAGGGCCAAAACUACUUGGAUCAUCUACUUUACCUUCUCAUUCAUCUCAUCAUCACUCUUUACUUUCACAAGAAUCAAAUUGGCUACUGGGAGGUCUUCUCAUUACCAUCACCUGCAUCAUGUCUUCUGGAUGGAACAUUCUUCAGGUAAAACAUAUUACAUGUAAUUCAACAAUGAGAAUGAAUUUGAAGUUAAAAACCAUCUUCACAAUCUUUCAGAGUUAGCAGUGUGUUUCGUGUAUGUAGGACUUAUUUCAGUUAAUGAUAAUGCCGGUAGAACAUCGUGGAAACAACCUCUUGCAGAAAUGCAGGGUAAGACUGUGUAUAAUAGACCCUAGUGGUUUGGCCUUUUCCCCGAUACCGCGCAUAGCGGAAGCUUAGUGCACCGCGCUGCCCCUUUUUAUACUGCCUGUAGAACAUGUCAUAGUAGAGGAUGCUUCAAUCUGUUUCCAAUUCAUACCUCAUAAGUCAUAAAAAUUCAUUUUGCCUCUAGCAACCUUUUGGUAGGCUCGAUUCAUUUUACACUUACUAGAAUUUCACUUACUACUUAGUGCCUAAAUCCUUUAAUUGUAGACUGCUAAGUUGCUCCGACAUGGCAGUUUAGGUGUCGUACCCGUGUCGACACGACACUAGUAUGAGUGUGGGUAUGGGAUCCGUACCGGAUCUGGUCAAAUAAUUUUUGGUACUUUGACCGCGACGGCCGGAAAAAUUCGAGACGAGAUACAAUUUGAUUCUCCGAGGUUAAAUUUGAAGAAAACAACAUACCUUAUCUAUGAAAUCAAUCAUUUAUUUACCUACAACUUGAGAAUAAAAAAGAAAUCCACACUUUACAAGCUAUACAUAAGUAUUCGACAAAAUUUCUCAUAAUUUAGAUAUUUUUUUAUAUUUUUUGAAUUAUAUUUAGCCGGAUCCCCGCACCCGUAUCCGUACUAGGAUGAUAUCCCCGAAUCUUAGAAUUUACAUCUCGAAGGAUCCGACCUCUAGAUCCGCACCCGUGUCAAACACCCGCACCCGUGUCCAAGCAACGUAGGUAGACUGUCGUCAUCUCAACCAUUUUAACAUUACUGUGGCUGCUAAUUUGAUAUUGGUUUAUAGAUAAGCAGGUUUAUAUCUCAGAAUUAGGACAUUAUUACAAAUUCAUUUCAUGUUGUACUCGUUUAGACAGAUACGGUGAAGAAAUACCCUGAACAAAUGACAAUAGUGUUCUUCACUUGCUGCUUUGGGAGUAUUCAGUGUGCAAUUUUAACUCUGGUAUUAGAAAGAAAUCCAGAGGCAUGGAUGGUGAAGCCUGGGAUUGGAAUUAUAGCCAUUGUUUUCUCAGUAAGAAAUUUGAUGCUUCAUUUUCAGUUCUCUUCUGCACCUUGUUCUUUAACAGAUAUCUGAUUCUGUUUUCUUACACACUAGGCUGUAUCUGGAAGUGUGUUUCGUUACAACGUUUUGACAUGGUGCUUGGACAAGAAAGGUCCUCUUUAUGUAGCGAUGUUCAAGCCCUUGGGAAUGGUAAUUGCAGCAAUCUUGGGGAUCCUAUUUCUUGCCGAAUCACUCCAUUUAGGAAGGUAUAUAUAAAGCCAUUCUUUUCCUCAUGUUUACACAUGAUUGAUCAAUUAGCUUUGAGUUGCUUCUAGUUAUAUUACAAAAACUAGGUUGACAAACGGACACUACUAGUUUAGGCAUAACUACUAUUGCGAUUAAUACUACUACUAGUUUAGGUAUAGCUACUGCUACUGCUACUACUACUAGUACUACUUCUACUUCAACUGUCGCACCCUGCUCCCUGUAAUACUCUCUUUGUUUAAUGUUUAAGUUUUUCUUUUGCUGACCAUAAAAAAAGCUUGGGUUGCUUGCAAACAAAUUAAUGCAUCUGCAAUUCUCUUUUCCGCUGUAUUGUAAUUUAUAAUUACAUGACUCAUCUUCCUUCUGGUUUUGAAGUAUUAGUUUUUAAUGCACAUAUAUAAUUUCAUGAAGUAAAUUUUUUGUUACAAUGUGGUGGGCAGUGUUAUAGGAGCAGUUAUCAUAUCUGCUGGAUUUUAUUCUGUGCUGUGGGGAAAGGCCAAGGAGAUCAAGUCAAUGCUUGAGAUUGAGGACACUGUUUGUAUAAUUGACUCAUCAAGCCAAAGAAGCCCUUUAUUGCAAAAGUAAAUUUCAUUAAAAAAACACAUAAAAUAAAGUGUUACUUAUGGCCCUUUGACUAUGCUGCUCAGCCAUGUUAAUUAACACUACCCUUUCACAAGUAUUUGAAUGCAUUGGCGAGUGCUGCUUAAUUUCAGAUGAAGAUGAUAAAGGCUAGUGGAUGAGGCGUCAGAUAAACGAGACGCAAAUUAGCCACAAGUAGACCAGUACUACAUAGAAGAAAUGGAUUCAUGAUUUAAAUUUGAAGAAUUCAAUAUUUUUAUUUAUACGAUUGAACUCUGUAGAAUUUAAUAUUUAUAGAAAUUUUGGUUUUUCAAAUAUAUAUUUAUGCUCAAUGGAAAAUGUUAGGUUCAAUUGAACUCAUGUUGCAUCCGCCUCCACUUAAUAGGCGUAUGUGCCAAAACAUAUUGCAUCCAAAAACUCUUGAAGAAAGCAGAUAAUUAGCUUAAUUAAUACCAGCAAAUAUUUUUAACCUCCAAUAAAGAUUGUCUGUUUGCAUAAUUAUAUCAUUUGGUUAAACGUUGUUAGGGCAGAAAUUCGCUAUCCAGAAAUCUACCCCUUUCGAGGAGUGCAGCUUAAUUGAUUAGUCUACUUCCUGGAAUUCUGUCACUCUAUAAGUAUUAGGAGUAUUCAAGUGACAGAAAGUUAUUACUUUAUAAUUUAUAAGUGUUAGGAUAUCGACUCACAUGUGGACUUUUACCAGGCUAAACUGCAAAUGCUACUCUAUAAAAGAGAAAAAAAUACUUAUCUAUUCCGUGUUUACAGCAAAAUAGUAAACACUUUUUGUUUGUUGGAAAUAUUGAAUGAAGAUAAGUACUAUUCACCCGAUAAAACGGAGGACUAGUCUUCUUGUAGUAGUAACCUCCCCAUUGGCUUCGUUUAACGCCCUCAACAAAGUCGCAAGUUCUAGUAGACAACAUAUAAGGAAGAAAGAUUUGAUUAUUUGCUUAAGAUAAUAUUAUGAUAAUAUAUACCGCUGAAUUAAAGAUUUGAUUCGGUCAAAAGGGGUUGGUUAAAGCUAGAAUAUUAUUUACUUCAGAUACUUUUUUUCAGAAAGAAAAGAAAAAACAGACCGGUUAUUAAUGAUUUCAAAGAAGAGAGGGAAAAAGUGAUCAAUGGAGAAGGAGAACGAUGCAAAGUGAAAUAUACAUUCACCAUUCACUUGGGAAUUUAGAUAUUUAGGUGAAACACAUGUCAAAGCUGGAACAUAGAAGUUCUAUGUUUGAAUUUUAAGUCACACAUUAACAAAAAAAAAAUAAAAAAAAAUCACUUGUUUGGUUAAAAAAAAUCAAGCCUACACAUGAAAGAUUUUUAGAUCAUGAAUAAUACUCCUAUAAUUAAAAAAAAUCCAAUUUCUUAAAAUAUUUAAUUCUCUUAUCGCAUACUUUGAAGUGUUCUCUAGCGUACCUUUGAUCCGUAGAGCGAAAACCUUUCCACAUGCAACUUUCAAAUCAUUGUGGCUUAUACAAUUACACUUACAAGCAAAAUCUUAAUUUGACUUUGUGAGUUUAAUCUCCUUAUUCCUUAAUGCACUUUUGUUUCAAAACAAACAGAAGGGUUCAAUUUAGGAUCUUCGCUACUGCUUUUUUUUUCUUCCUUUUUUUUUUUUGAUAUAUGUUUCUUAUUUGGGAGUUGGGAUUUGGCAAGACCAUCAAAUUUCCAAUUUCGUUAGGCAUCUCUCUUUGGAUGAUUGGUUCGUUUAAUGACCCUUGCAUUAUUUAGCCGCUAAAAGUACCAAUAAUUGAAGGAAAAAGCGCAUUGUCUAAAUAGCAACUAUCAAAGUGUCAGCAUUCACCAUCUACAGUUGCAUGUCACUCCAACCUUCACUUGUUCUUUUCUCUUUUACGUGAUAGAAAGCCAAAAAUAUACAAUUUGUAGUGCUGGGCACAAUAUUUAUAUUAAGUCAAUAAAUAUAAAUUAGUAUUUCAUUCAUUUCAAUUUAUGUGAAUUUAUUUCUUUUUAGUCCGUGCCAAAUAGAAUGAUCUCUUUACUUACUUGGAAAUAAUUUACCUUUAUGCAAUGAUUUAUAGCUACACAAAAUAUAUGUGUCUCAUUUUACACCACAAGUUCAAAAGUCUUCUCUCUUUUCUUAAACUCCGUGCCCAGUCAUAUGAGUUCACAUAAAUUGAAACGGAGGGAAUACAACAUCAUACCUUAAUCAUGGUAAUGGAUGUGUAUUUUUAAUUAAUUUUUUAACCAUUAAGAUUAAAUUAUUUAAUUUAAUAUAAAUAUUAUGUGCGGGUAAAUUUUCUACCUAAAGGUAGAUUGCCCCUUGUCACAAAAAGGCAGAAUAGUCACACGCCUUUAUCACUCCCACAAGCAACUCUCAUUUCUUUUUGAGGAUAACUCCUACUUAGCGUGCCGAUCAAUCUAAUCUUUUUAUCUUCAAUUAGAUGCCAAUUACAUGCUGCUAUGCAACUUGGUGUCUAAAAUCAAUAUCCUUUCCUCAAAAUAUAUGUGAUCAAUUAUUAAAUCAAUCAAAGCCCAGAAGAAUUUUGCAAAAAUAAAAUUAUAUACGGUCAAAACCGAGUUUGCCUUUCGAGAUUGGAAUAUGGAUGAAGAUUCGUCAUCGUAAUAUCGAGCCAUGAUUCGAAGUUUGAUUGUCGAGUUCGAGACUCAAAGAUCGACCGAUACUGAGCUCGAGUCAAUAUCAAAGCUCGAGGUCCAGAGAUCGAUCAAUAUCGAGCUCGAGUUAAUAUCAAGGGUCGAGGGUAAAGAAAACGACCAAUACCGAUACCGGCCAAGACCGAGAUCGAGCCAAGAGACAAAGAGCCGUUAUAGCCGUACUAGGGAAGAGAAUCUCGGCGGAAAUCAAGGAAAAGCUAAUUAAUUAAUCUAUCAUGAGAUCCUUACUAUGUAUUUUUAAUUAUAUCCAAAGUAGGAUUCCUCCACUAUAUUAAGAGUGGCUAUCAUUUGUAGACACAUUCAUACUCUCACAUUCAGAGAUUAUUGAGAUUUACAGAACAUCUAGCAAAUAUUAUUUUUUUUGGGUUUUUGAUAUUGAUUCAUCUUAUUUAUUUAUCAAUCAUUCUCUACUCAAUUUGGGUUUGUAUUCAUUCUUUUUUACGGUAAAUAUUCGAUAUAUCUCUACUUAUUUUUCCAAUUUGUACCAAGUUAUACAACGUAUCUUUAGAACUACGUAUAAAUUCAACUUUAUCCGUUUUUCGGAUAAACAAAAAUAAAGUAAACAGAAGAUCCAAAUGGAUUUGUAGAAUAUUAAUUUAAUAAUUAACGAUGAUUAAAUUUGAAAACCAUUCGUUAGGCGCCGCGCUACUUGUAAAAAUACUGCUUCGAGAUAAACUAAAUAUGUUUCGAGAAGCCCCACGAAUGUCAAAAAAUAUUGUGGGGACGGGCUGGUCAUCCACAUUCAGGAGCUAGUGGAGAGAGAAGCCCCACUAAUGUCAAAUUUAAAGUCAUGAAUCUCUCGUAUUGACGUACUCUCCCUGAUAUAAAAUGGGAGAAAGGGAUUUUUCUUUUCUUUUUUUUUUUGCAAGGGAAGGAAAAUUGGGAUAUGGAAUCUUAAGACUUCCUGAAAAUCAAAGACAAACGAGAGUUUCUGUAGCUAGACUUUAAUUUUAAAAAAGUGUAUUCUAAUCGAGAUUCUCCGAAAAUAGAUUAAUAGAGUGUGUUAAGAGCCUACGAUUGAUAUAUUGAAAUCAAUCCUUAUUUAAGACGGGCUCACUUGUCAAACUGAUUUUUUUGAGUUUGGCAAUCAUAAAUGAUUAGCACUGUUGAUCUUGCCUUGUUUUAAUUACAAAUUGUAGUAAUUACGGAGCAUGUUUGAUUCGAAAAACUUUCGCAAGUUGAAACUUGAAAAUAUAGUAUGAUUUGGAAAAUUUCAAAAGAUUCUUGUUGAUAAAUAGGUCAUGGUUAGAAAAUGAGUUAUGCAACUUCUAAGAGGAGAGAAAAUGACAUUUGAGGUGGGACCUAAAGAAUAUAAAAAGAGAAUAAAGAUUACAACUUUCAAUAUAAUCUUAGCUACAAAAACAGUUACUUUAACUCUGGUCCCUAAACUGUUAGUGGAAACCAAUAUAUAUAUGCGUAUUAGACACACACACUCCUAUGAUUAAUUAUUUAUUUGCUACCAGAUUUUCAGGUAGAGCUCAUGUCCGCCACGCGUAGCGUUCGAUAAUUUUGGAAGCAAGACGUUGAAGUUUCGAGAGAGAAAAAAGAGAAGAAAAAAAUGGCAAGCAAUAAUGGAAGAAUUAGAGAAUCAACUUUUUACAAAGAAGUGGUACCAUUUGCAGCUAUGGUGUCUAUGGAAUGUAUAAAUGUUGGAUUAAACACACUUUACAAAGCUGCUACUAACAAAGGAAUGAGUAAUCAUGUCUUUGUUGUUUACAGUUAUGGUCUUGCUGCUGUUCUCCUUCUUCCUUCUCCCUUUUUCUCAACCAGGUUUCUUUUUUUUUACUCUCUGUUUUCUCAAGUUUUUGGCUCGGAUUUUGAUCAAUUGUUAUAUGUGUAAAUCUUAUCAAGAAUCUGAUAGGGGUUGAAAAUUGGAAAUAUCUGACUGCAGAUCAAGAGUACUUCCACCCCUCAACUGCUCAAUUCUUGCCAAAAUAUUUCUUCUUGGAGUUAUCGGGUACCUUUUGACUUUUUUCUUCUUCUUGUUUAUCACUCUUAAUCUGUCAAUCUGCAGAUAUACUAUAUGUCAAAAAGUUUUCUUCUUUUCCUGCAAAUUAGGAUGAUGAUCAGAUGUUCUUACUCUUAUUUAUGAGGAAAAAAUCUAUUGAAUUCAAUUAAAAGUCUGAUUCAGGGGUCUAACUACUGCUGAACUAAUUUAGAGACAUCAUACAGCCAACGCCAAUAGAGUCGAUUGAUUGGUUGACCAAUAUACUGUAAUUCUGUUUCAGGAAAUUUAUUCAGGAUAAGUUCAAUAAGAAUUCUUGUAAAUUUAAUCCUCUUCAUUAUUCAUGACAAACAAUUAACCCAAAUAGCUGCCCAUCUAAUUACUUAAAUUAAAGAUAACCGAUAAAGAUAAAAUAUAUGCAUAAUUUAUGUAUUAUAUGCGCAUAAUUAUAUAUAAUCAAUAUAUAAUCUAUAUAUAUUACUAAAAAAUAUAAAUAAUAAAUAUAACCAGCUAUUUGGGUAAAGUUAUUUUUAUAACUUUUUUUCAUUACACAGGGAUCUUAGAAGGGAAACGGGAGUGGGGCAUUUGCGCGAAUGGCCUUAGUGGGGCGUUUGCGUGAAUGACCAUUUUGAGGCCACUAUUUAAAUUCUUUCCUCUUCAGUGUGGUAGAUUAAAUUUAUCAAAAAAGAAAAAAUCCACCCAACUUUUAUAGGCGAAGUUUUGCUCAUUGUGCCAACAGUGUCAACAUAUAAAAAGUGAUAUCAGAAUUAGUCUAGAACAAAAUUUAUGGACAUGAUUUUGUUUUCUUGCUUUUCGAUAAUAUAUACGUAUUAUAUUAUCGAAAAUGCAGGUGUACAUCACAGAUAAUGGGGUAUACAGGAAUUAAUUAUAGCUCUCCUACGCUUGCCUCCGCCAUCAGCAAUCUCGUCCCUGCUUUCACUUUUGUCUUGGCUGUCACUUUCAGGUUUUUGCUUCCUCUUCUUUUUUAUCUCAUGUCCUUUAUUUUCAGUCGUUUUCCUUGCUUUUUUUGCGAUCCCCACUAUAAUGACACUAGUGUUGUGUUCUCUUUCCUAUUUGUCAAGUGGUCAACAACUUUGUCAGCAUCCAUCAAUUUGUCCCAACCAAAAAAAAUUAGUUAAACUCGACCAGGGUUACAGAUAUCUAACUUUUAGACUAAAGAUUGCAGCUUUAUUUUGUACUUAACUCAAAAUUUUAUGGCACCGUCCAACCACAAAGAAAAUUAGAUGAAAUGGGUUUGGGGUUGUCUUAGAAGAUUCAUGAAAUCUAAUCAGGGAGAAACUUGUACUGAAGCAUAGAAUGAUUUUCAAUUCACAAAAAUAAGUAAAGAAAGGGCAAAUUGAUGAAGUUAAGUUGUUUUAACAUGGCAAAGAAUUUCCUCAGCUUUCUGUUUUUUAUUGUUUAGUAGAAUAAAUUUGAUGCAGUGGAAGUGUUAAUAAACAGGAUGGAAAAGAUAGAAUUAAAAAGAUCAAGCACUCGAGCCAAAGUCUUGGGCACAGUGGUUUCCAUCGCUGGAGCUUUCGUAGUGACUCUCUACAAAGGCCCAAAAUUAUUAGUGGCGAUCACGUCCACGCCCAAAAUCCUUAGCCAAUCUCUCAGAUCAUCCCAAUCGAAUUGGAUGCUUGGCGGCCUUUUCCUCACAACUGAAUAUUUUUUGGUUCCUAUGUGGUACAUUGUUCAGGUGAAAUGCAGACUUAGUUCUUGAAUAGAGAGCUACCCUUUUGCAACAAAACGAAAUAACUGAAUUUGAGUCAUUUAAUUUGAUGACAGACAUGGAUUAUGAAAGAGUAUCCAGCUGAAGUGACUGUAGUUUUCUUCUACAACUUGUGUGUGAGCUGCCUAGCUGCUAUUGUAGGAUUUUUCACUGAACCAGAUUCCAACAAAUGGCGAAUUAAACCAGAUAUUGCACUGGUCUCCAUCCUAUGCUCUGUAAGUGAAUUGAGAAGUAGGUUUGAUAGUACAUCUUUGUUAUAUAUAUAUAUCAGGCAAUGCAUUCUCCAGCAAAUCUAAAUCAAUGCAAUUGGAUGUCCAAUUCGGGCAUAUAUGACGUGGCCAAUCAUUUGAUGUGAAAAGCCUACCACUACGCUUUCCCAAGACUACCAAGUUGUUGUCUUUUAGCCGUCCAUGUAUAGAGAUGGCAAAUACAUGGGUCGGGUCAAAUUUGGACAAGUUAAAACAAACCGGCAACGGAAACUUAUCAAAGUUGGAUCAAAACGAAUAAGGUCAAGAUGAGUAAAAUAACGGGUCAUAACUUAAUCUGUCAAACAUGACCCUACUUCUCUUUUUAACUUGUUUUUAGCUUUUAACAAAAUUGUGAAAGUCAAUGUAUUUUUUCAUAUAUUAUUAGCUUAAAUUCUUCCAAAUUUACAUAGUCUACAGUCUCCAAAUUUGCUUUUGUGUUUUUGGGUUUUGGUUGAAUUUUGACUCGUCAAGUUACACUAUUUUGAUCCAACAGUUUGAUGUGUCCUUUUGAAUUGAACUCGUUGAGUCAAGUCAACAAUCGGCUCAUAACGCAACCCGCUUGGAAUUGGACCGAUUAUUAACAUAUGAGUUGAUUUUGCUAGCUCCUUUCUUGUAUGACAAAAAAUUGUGUGCUGCAUUACACAGGGAAUUUUGGGCUCAUCACUAAACAAUACAAUUCACACCUGGGCUUUGCGCGUCAAAGGACCAGUCUAUGUAGCAAUGUUCAAGCCACUGUCCAUUGCCAUUGCAGUUGCCAUGGGAGUCAUUAUCCUAGGAGAUACUCUUUAUUUGGGAAGGUACUAACUCCUCAAGUGCUCAUUUUUUGCACAAUAAAUAUUUCCUAUACUCAACACAUUUAUUUUCUUUCAUAAUUUAUGUCAUCGUCGAUCUAAUCCACAACUUUCUGCUUUGACAAUCAGCGUUCUGGGAGCGACUGUAAUUGCCAUUGGAUUCUAUACUGUAAUGUGGGGAAAGGCAAAAGAAAUGCCUGAAUACGAUGAUUCUAGUGAUCUUGAGUCUUCUUCAGCUCAAAAGUUCCCCUUGUUACACAAUUACAAAAAUGAAGGCAUCUCAAACAAGUAAACAUGUUAGAUAAACUCAUCAAGCAGAAAGGCAAGUCACACAAAAAGCGCGCUGUUUCUGCAAAGCAAGAAAGAAGCUAUUUUCUAUACACAAGGGUAGCAGUUUUAUAGGAAGAAACAAAAGGCUGCUAUUGGGAGAAGCCGAGCAGCAAACUGUUGGCAUAUAUCCUUGUUUUGUACAGCUCUUUUGAAACAACAUGCUCAACUUGUAUCUCAGGAAUGAACUAAAGCCUAUUCUAGUGAACAAAAAUGUAUCAGGUAUAUAAUCAAGGCAUUGCUAAUUAAUCAAAAUUAAGCAGGAUGUGUGCAUCCUUUCUGUACUUCAACAGGCUCGAAUGUACUUCUUUAUUCUAAGAAAGAUUGUUAAACCAUAAUGAUUCUGCUUAUAUUCUAUAAUUCAUU
rnacentral:lncRNA from 1 species